rnacentral:rRNA from 1 species
UACAGAGGCCUCGAGCGUUAGGCGGAAUCACUGGGCUUAAAGCGUGUGUAGGUGGAUGCCUAAGUACCUUGUGAAAUCCCACGGCUUAACCGUGGAAUGGCUGGGUAUACUGGGUGUCUUGAGCCACUCAGGGGCUACCGGAACAAAUGGUGGAGCGGUGAAAUGCGUAGAUAUCAGUUGGAACGCCAAUGGUGAAAACAGGUAGCUGGGGGUGUGCUGACACUGAGACACGAAAGCCAGGGGAGCAAACGGG